GAUGAAGAACGCAGCGAAAUGCGAUAAGUAAUGUGAAUUGCAGAAUUCAGUGAAUCAUCGAAUCUUUGAACGCACAUUGCGCCCGCCAGUAUUCUGGCGGGCAUGCCUGUUCGAGCGUCAUUACAACCCUCAGGCCACCGGGCCUGGCGUUGGGGAUCGGCGGAAGCCCCCUGCGGGCACAACGCCGUCCCCCAAAUACAGUGGCGGUCCCGCCGCAGCUUCCAUUGCGUAGUAGCUAACACCUCGCAACUGGAGAGCGGCGCGGCCACGCCGUAAAACACCCAACUUCUGAAUGUUGACCUCGAAUCAGGUAGGAAUACCCGCUGAACUUAAGCAUAUCAAUAAGCGGAGGA
rnacentral:misc_RNA from 1 species